AUGUUUGAUUUAGCCGACCCUUUUCUUAGAUAAAUUUUGAGAACUCUUAUUGUGAUUGUUUAAGUGCAUGAAAUCAGAAAACUAGAUCAGACUCGUAACCAGUACUCAAGGUUGAGCAAAGGUGGAAGCUUAAGCUAAAACAUUUAUGUAAGCUAUGCAAGGUCCUAUUGAUGUGAUAAAGUUAUGUUCAAGUAAAAUUUACAGAGGUAAGUAAGUUAGAAGAAUGCAAUUGCCACCACCAUAAGGGAUGGAAGUUUCAUUAUGAAAAUGUGAGGGAGGCGUCCUAACUCCUAAACCCCCAAAGCCCUCCCACAACCAAACUGCACGACCUUCUACCCCAAUCUCCUCUCCAUUCAUUCCUCCCCAUCAUCUUUUCUUCUAUUCUCUCUUCCUCACACGAACAUCGGCACUCCACGCGAACGACGACUGGACGCCAACAUCGGCACUUCACGUGAACGACGACCGCUACUUCCAAACCUCCGACCUCCUCUGGCUGCUCCUAAACGCCAAUUUCGGUGGCCAACCCCUAACCCUGUGCAAUCCUUUAAAGGGUCCCGAUUGGAUAUGUUGGCUUUGCCCCAAAUGCUUUGGCCAAAGAAGAAUAAGAAGUAUGAAUCGUGGGGGAGGGUGGUUAAUUGUAGUUUUGGAACUUGGAGUUUUGUUUCACUGUAGAUAUUUGUUACAUUGAUCAAAAUAAUGUUGCUUUUUCAAAACAACCUAUUGCCUGCGAUUGCAAAUUCUUAAACUAGGCUUAGCUCCUGUUAAAAUUCUUACCCAUUGUUUGUUGUAUUUUAGUUUAGGUUGGGAAUCCAAGUUUAUAUUUGAAGCAUAGAUUAUUCAAGGUCAAGGUCGUUGAGUUUCAAGCUUCUUUGAGUUUGUAUCUUUUGUUCUAUUAUAUUUUAAUUGAUCAAUCGAUUGAUUGUUUUAUGUUAAAGCAUUUGCAUUUUAAUAGAGUUAGAACUGUUUGUUAGUGUUGUAAUAUUUUUGUUGGUGUAUACAUAAAAUUAUGAAUAUAUAUUUGUUUA